rnacentral:rRNA from 1 species
AACGCGAAGAACCUUACCUGGUCUUGACAUAUCUAGAAUCCUGCAGAGAUGCGGGAGUGCCUUCGGGAAUUAGAAUACAGGUGCUGCAUGGCUGUCGUCAGCUCGUGUCGUGAGAUGUUGGGUUAAGUCCCGCAACGAGCGCAACCCUUGUCCUUAGUUACCAGCGGGUUAAGCCGGGAACUCUAAGGAUACUGCCAGUGACAAACUGGAGGAAGGCGGGGACGACGUCAAGUCAUCAUGGCCCUUACGACCAGGGCUACACACGUGCUACAAUGGUAGGUACAGAGGGCAGCUACACAGCGAUGUGAUGCGAAUCUCAAAAAGCCUAUCGUAGUCCAGAUUGGAGUCUGCAACUCGACUCCAUGAAGUAGGAAUCGCUAGUAAUCGCUGAUCAGA